AGUUUGAUCCUGGCUCAGGAUGAACGCUGGCGGUAUGCUUAACACAUGCAAGUCGAACGAGUCCUUUCGGGGGCAAGUGGCGGACGGGUGAGUAACGCGUGAGAAUCUGGCUCUAGGUUCGGGACAACCACUGGAAACGGUGGCUAAUACCGGAUGUGCCGAGAGGUGAAAGGUUAACUGCCUGGAGAUGAGCUCGCGUCUGAUUAGCUAGUUGGUGGUGUAAGGGACUACCAAGGCGACGAUCAGUAGCUGGUCUGAGAGGAUGAUCAGCCACACUGGAACUGAGACACGGUCCAGACUCCUACGGGAGGCAGCAGUGGGGAAUUUUCCGCAAUGGGCGAAAGCCUGACGGAGCAAUACCGCGUGAGGGAGGAAGGCUCUUGGGUUGUAAACCUCUUUUCUCAGGGAAUAAGCAAGUGAAGGUACCUGAGGAAUCAGCAUCGGCUAACUCCGUGCCAGCAGCCGCGGUAAUACGGAGGAUGCAAGCGUUAUCCGGAAUGAUUGGGCGUAAAGCGUCCGUAGGUAGCAGUGUGUGUCUAUUGUUAAAGAGUUUGGCUUAACCAAAUAAAGGCGGUAGAAACUACACAGCUAGAGUGCGUUCGGGGCAGAGGGAAUUCCUGGUGUAGCGGUGAAAUGCGUAGAGAUCAGGAAGAACACCGGUGGCGAAAGCGCUCUGCUAGGCCGCAACUGACACUGAGGGACGAAAGCUAGGGGAGCGAAUGGGAUUAGAUACCCCAGUAGUCCUAGCCGUAAACGAUGGAUACUAGGCGUUGAGAGUAUCGACCCUCUCAGUGCCGUAGCUAACGCGUUAAGUAUCCCGCCUGGGGAGUACGCACGCAAGUGUGAAACUCAAAGGAAUUGACGGGGGCCCGCACAAGCGGUGGAGUAUGUGGUUUAAUUCGAUGCAACGCGAAGAACCUUACCAGGGCUUGACAUGUCUGGAAUCUUGGGGAAACUCAAGAGUGCCUUUCGGGAGCCAGAACACCGGUGGUGCAUGGCUGUCCGUCAGCUCGUGUCGUGAGAUGUUGGGUUAAGUCCCGCAACGAGCGCAACCCUCGUACUUAGUUGCCAGCACUUCGGGUGGGCACUCUAAGGAGACUGCCGGUGACAAACCGGAGGAAGGUGGGGAUGACGUCAAGUCAGCAUACCCCUUACGUGGUGGGCUACACACGUACUACAAUGCUACGGACAAAGGGCAGCGAGACUGCGAAGUUAAGCAAAUCUCAGAAACCGUAGCUCAGUUCAGAUCGCAGGCUGCAACUCGCCUGCGUGAAGGAGGAAUCGCUAGUAAUUGCAGGUCAGCAUACUGCAGUGAAUUCGUUCCCGGGCCUUGUACACACCGCCCGUCACACCAUGGAAGCUGGUCACGCCCGAAGUCGUUACCCUAACCAUUAUUUGGAGGGGGACGCCGAAGGUAGGACUGGUGACUGGGGUGAAGUCGUAACAAG
rnacentral:rRNA from 2 species